GAGAAAUAAAAACAUACAAUCAUAGAGUAUCCAGAGUUGGAAGGGACCCAUAAGGAUCAUUGAGUCCAACUCCUGGCACCACACAAGUAUACCCCAAAUUUCAGACCACAUGACUAAAAGCACAGUCCAAACGCUUCUUAAACUCCGACAGGCUUGGUGCAGUGACUUCCCUGGGGAGCCUGUUCCAGUGUGCGACUACCCUCUCG